rnacentral:rRNA from 1 species
GUGAGGAAUUUUCCGCAAUGGGCGAAAGCCUGACGGAGCAAUGCCGCGUGAAGGAUGAAGGCCUAUGGGUUGUAAACUUCUUUUCUCAGAAAAGAAUUAUGACGGUAUCUGAGGAAUAAGCAUCGGCUAACUGUGUGCCAGCAGCCGCGGUAAGACAGAGGAUGCAAGCGUUAUCCGGAAUGAUUGGGCGUAAAGCGUCUGUAGGUUGUUUAAAAAGUAUUCUGUCAAAGAUUAGGGCUUAACCCUAGAUAGGCAGAAUAAACUUUUAAGCUAGAGUGUGGUAGAGGCAGAGGGAAUUCCCGGUGGAGCGGUGAAAUGCGUAGAUAUCGGGAGGAACACCAAAGGCGAAGGCACUCUGCUGGGCCAAUACUAACACUGAGAGACGAAAGCGAGGGGAGCAAAUGGGAUUAGAUACCCUGGUAGUCC